GCCAAGGUGAGCUGGGGAGAGGAAGUACAGCUGAAAGUCUGAGUAAUGAAGACACACUCAAGCCAAUGGAAAGGAAGCCCUAAGGACUCCUGGCUGAUCCAAUCCAUAGCAUGAACAUUGUUGACUGAGAUACAGAUAAGACAGAGGAUUGUCUCGGGUUGAUCCCUUUGUAUAAGAGGGGAAGGAAAAAAAGCCUGCUGCAAAUGAAAAUAACACUUAUGGUUUUGAGAUAAAGAAAAUAGAUAAAGCUAUGGGACAAGUCCUGACCAGUGACUUCAGAUGAGAGAUGGAUGCAUGUAACUAGAAAAUAAUUGGCUCCAUAUUCUUUAUUUGACAAAACAGCCAAGAUGCUAAUUACAGGAUUUAAUAUUUUGAAAAUUACUGUAUACCCACUGUUGUGAAUAUUGUGCAUGUUGUGAAAAGCAUUAUGGGAAGAGAUGUUAUGCUAAAAGAUUCAUUGAGUCUAACUCACUCCACAGGUAUUGUGCACUCAUAUAAACAUUAUUCAUUUUUCAUAUUAGUGUGUCUUUGUUUGGAGACCUUUCUUUGUGAAGCUGGAUAUAUUAAUUGUAAAAAUGGCAGCUAUGGCCCUUUUUGGCUGCAUGUUUGUAAGCUUUAA